rnacentral:rRNA from 1 species
AGAUUCUCUUUAUUAUGGAGAAUUAAAAACAUAAAAAUAACUAUUCAUGUUAGUGUAAGCAUAUAGAUGAAAAAUCUUAUCAGGGUAAGGUAAGUAAAUAUUAACUUAACCUAAGACGAGUUUAAAAUACAUUCUUGACUGAAACAAAGCAAGUUUAAAGCAGUAGAAAAAAUUAUACAAUCGAAGAAAUUCGGAUAUAGUUGUUUGAAAAGCUUUGUCUAAAUAAGUGCCAGCAGACGCGGUAAUACUUAUAAAGCAAGUUUUAAAUAAAAAUAGGUAAGCUCCAAGGGCAAUUUAAUUCAGAAAAAUUAAUAUUUAAUCAGUUGAAUGAAAAAGAAAUAUUCCGUAAUAAGAAAAGAAACUUUAAGAGCUAAAAUCAACAAGCUAAAUAGGAUUUGAUACCCUAGUAAACAUGAAGUUAAAAAACAAAAACCUGAACAGUACUCUAUCAAUAGUAAAAAUCUAAGAAUAUGGCUGUUUGCUAUUCAAUUAGAGAAGGAUGUAACUUAAUUUGAUAAUACGCAAAAAACCUUACCUUCCUUAUAUAGGUAUUGCAUGGUUGUCCAAGUUUAAAUAUAUAAUUUAAACAAAAACUAUAAAGUGAAAGACAAAUAUUAUGAUCCUAAUAGGAAGGGGAUAAUGUCCUACAAUUCUUAAUAGAAUAUAAAUAUAAGAAUGGAAUUCUCUUUGUAACAAAGAAUAAAAAAGAAUUUAAAAGUAAUUGAAAAAAGAACGUUUCAAUAAAUAGAAUAAAGCAUUAGCACAAAUUGUCCGUCGCCUCUAUCUACUAAAAAGAGUAAGUCGUAGCAUAGUGGGUGUAAGGGAACUUGUACCCGAAAAUAA